rnacentral:rRNA from 1 species
UACGUAGGGUGCAAGCGUUGUCCGGAAUUAUUGGGCGUAAAGAGCUCGUAGGCGGUUUGUCGCGUCUGCUGUGAAAAUCCAGGGCUUAACCCUGGACCUGCAGUGGGUACGGGCAGACUAGAGUGCGGUAGGGGGGAUCGGAAUUCCUGGUGUAGCGGUGAAAUGCGCAGAUAUCAGGAGGAACACCGGUGGCGAAGGCGGAUCUCUGGGCCGUAACUGACGCUGAGGAGCGAAAGCAUGGGGAGCGAACAGG